rnacentral:rRNA from 1 species
AUGAACGCUGGCGGCGUGCCUAAUACCUGCAAGUCGCGCGAACAGACGAGGAGCUUGCUCCUUUGACGUUAGCGGCGGACGGGUGAGUAACACGUGGAUAACCUACCUAUAAGACUGGGAUAACUUCGGGAAACCGGAGCUAAUACCGGAUAACAUGUUGAACCGCAUGGUUCAACAGUGAAAGACGGUCUUGCUGUCACUUAUAGAUGGAUCCGCGCCGCAUUAGCUAGUUGGUAAGGUAACGGCUUACCAAGGCAACGAUGCGUAGCCGACCUGAGAGGGUGAUCGGCCACACUGGAACUGAGACACGGUCCAGACUCCUACGGGAGGCAGCAGUAGGGAAUCUUCCGCAAUGGGCGAAAGCCUGACGGAGCAACGCCGCGUGAGUGAAGAAGGUCUUCGGAUCGUAAAACUCUGUUAUUAGGGAAGAACAAAUGUGUAAGUAACUAUGCACGUCUUGACGGUACCUAAUCAGAAAGCCACGGCUAACUACGUG